rnacentral:piRNA from 1 species
AAAGGACAGUGACUGGUCCAGGACCAUAGC